CCUAGGUCUUCCCUUCUCUGAAAUUGCCGCCCACCUCCGCCGCACCGAAAAUCGUCUCACGGCAACGAAACACCUCCAAACGCCUCCCAAUUUUAACCAUACAUCCUCCAUCAUCUCCUCGUCCAUAUCCCGCCAUUAGUUUCUCCAAAAAAUCACUCGUUUUCUCCGAAUUGAAAUCUAAGAAAUAAAAAUUUGAACUUUUCACUUUUGGUUCGAUUUUUCUUGACUUAGCCCUCAAUUCAUAGCAAAACCCCGUGAAUUCCCCAGUUUCUUCAACAAAAGGAUUCCAUUUUAUGUCAAGACCACCCCAUCUCAUGGUUUUGGCCAGAUUUCAGACAAAAGGCCUUGAACGAUCGAAAUUCUUCAAGCCUCUGAUUCGUCUUGUCUAAGGCAUGUGGUUAAAAUUGUUGCCUGAAGCAUUAGCCAUAGACGAAUGUCCGGCUAGUAUUCAUGUAACAAUUCCCAUCAUUGGCCGAGUUUUGUGAUUCAUCGGAGUUCUAGUGGGUUCUCUUACCUUUUCUCAAGUUGCUGAAGUUCUUGGCAAUCUAAUUGUUUCAGAAAGUUCUUCUUCUGUUUUUCCCGGUUUCUUUGCUACUACUGCUGUUAAGGUAUGUGCAUUUCGUCUCAAAUGAUGUAAUUGUUAUUUGGGUGUUCCAUUGCUAUGAAAAUCUCAGUUUGUUAUUCA